rnacentral:rRNA from 1 species
GACGAACGCUGGCGGCGUGCUUAACACAUGCACGUCGAACGACGUGGCGAACGGGUGAGUAACGCGUAAUCACCCUGCCCUUCAGAGGGGGAUAACAGUUGGAAACGACUGCUAAUACCGCCUCCUUAAGUAGGGGAUUGCUUCUGAUUCGCUAGUUGGAGGGGUAACGGCCCAACAAGGAGAUGAUCAGUAGCCGGUCUGGGAGGAUGAACGGCACAAUUGGGACUGAGCAACGGCCCAGACUCCUACGGGAGGAAGCAGGGGGGAAUCUUCCGCAAUGGACGAAAGUCUGACGGAGCAACGCCGCGUGAGGGAUGACGGCCUUCGGGUUGGAAAGCUCUGUUAAUCGGGACGCGGUACCGGAAUAGAAAGCCACGGCUAACUACGUGCCAGCAGCCGCGGUAAUAC